AGAGUUUGAUCCUGGCUCAGAUUGAACGCUGGCGGCGUGGCUAAAGCAUGCAAGUCGUACGCACCCGCAAGGGUGAGUGGCGGACGGGUUAGCAAUACGAUCGAACGUACCUCGAGGUGGGGGAUAGCGGCGGGAAACUGCCGGUAAUACCCCAUGAUCUCUCCGGAGCAAAGGGUAACCGCCUUGGGAUCGGCGAUCGUCCUAUCAGCUAGUUGGCGGGGUAACGGCCCACCAAGGCGAUGACGGGUAGCAGGUGUGAGAGCACGACCUGCAACAUCGGGACUGAGACACUGCCCGGACUCCUACGGGAGGCUGCAGCGACGAAUCUUCCGCAAUGGGCGCAAGCCUGACGGAGCGACGCCGCGUGUGGGGUGAAGCGCCUCUGGCGUGUAAACCACUGUCAGGGGACAGAACCAAUGAUUGUCUCCAGAGGAAGGGGCGACUAACUCUGUGCCAGCAGUCGCGGUAAGACAGAGGCCCCGAGCGUUAAUCGGAAUCACUGGGCUUAAAGGGUGCGUAGGCCGGCCCGCAAGUGCUUUGUGAAAUCCCCCGGCUCAACCGGGGAACAGCGGGGCAUACUGCGGGUCUUGAGGAAGGUAGGGGCCGCCAGAACUGUAGGUGGAGCGGUGAAAUGCGUAGAUAUCUACAGGAAUGCCGAUGGUGAAGACGGGCGGCUGGGCCUUUCCUGACGCUGAGGCACGAAAGCGUGGGGAGCAAACAGGAUUAGAUACCCUGGUAGUCCACGCCGUAAACGAUGCGCGCUAGAUCGGUGCCGCUCUCACGCGGGAUCGGUCGUAGUAAAAACGAUAAGCGCGCCGCCUGGGGAGUACGGUCGCAAGGCUAAAACUCAAAGGAAUUGACGG
rnacentral:rRNA from 1 species